UACGUAGGGACCGAGCGUUGUCCGGAAUCAUUGGGCGUAAAGAGCGUGUAGGCGGCCUUUUAAGUCCUGCGUGAAAUCCUGCGGCUCAACCGCAGACGGUCGUGGGAAACUGGAAGGCUAGAGUGCGGGAGAGGAGAGUGGAAUUCCUGGUGUAGCGGUGAAAUGCGCAGAUAUCAGGAGGAACACCGGUGGCGAAGGCGGGUCUCUGGGCCGAUACUGACGCUGAGGAGCGAAAGCGUGGGGAGCGAACAGG
rnacentral:rRNA from 1 species